UUUCGGAAAUGGGGGCAGGCUCAAACGAUUCUUCCUCAAUUUUCUCUGUUUAAGAUUGAUGACAUUGAGAUAUUAGGUGGCAACUCUCAUGACUGCAUACAUUGUUUUGGUUACCUCUUCACUAAAUGGAUUUGAGGGUGAGCCGUGUACAUGUAUCAUCGGAAAAAGCGCUGCAUGGUCUUAUCCGUUUGUCGACCGUUUUGCCAGCUGGAUUAUGCUUUUCUAUCUAUGGUUUUUUUCUUUUUAGGGAACUCUCUCUAGAAGAUCCAUCGAGAUGCUUUUGAAAGGAAAUUCAAAAAAUCAACAAAUUGUUUAUGGGCAAUUCAGAUAAUCCAUUAGUCACAUGAGGUUAUUUUCAAAACAAGGUUACUCAUGCAAUAUCUCCAAGUGUUAUUGCGCUAAUUGCAAGGUCUAAAAAAGUUGCAAAAUUUAGAUGAAGGUUACUUGGAUUUCUGAUGAAAAAAAUAAUGCUCUCUUGCACUAUAUAUGGGUGCUAUAGAGUAAAGAAAGAUCAAAUAUCAGCUUUUUCUCCAAUGAACUUUUUGCUCCAUCUGUCAGUAAUUUUGCUUAGAAUAUGUCCGCAUAUGAAUUAUGAACUGCUUAGGAAUGUCACAAUUUCAAAUUGUUGAAGAGUUUCACCGUGCCUCCUAUUUUCGACAAAGAAAUUGACAGCCUCCUUUUGCAAAAGUGCCAUUCAAUAACACCUAUAGAAUAUUGUUGGUUGUUUACUUGAAAUAUGAGAAGAGCCUUGUCUUUAUUCUGAAAUGGACAUCAAGAAAGCCAUAAUUUCUAAUCAUUGAAUAUUUCAAACAAGGGUCUGCAUUGCAAACUUCCCCAUAGUGAAUCUAGUUUCUCAAGGAUGACCUUUUAAUAUCUUAAAUGGCUACCUGGAUUUAAGAAACUAAUAGCACUAUUUCGUUGGAACAAAAACGACACACACACAGAUAUAUUUCAAUGUCUAAAAUGGAUGCGAAUGUUUGAAACAUUAUUUUUAUCAUCAUCAGAGCUUUUUUCCAACCCUUUGGGAACAACUACAAGAAUUCUGAUAUGUUAUUAUGCUAUAUGAACACUAUUCUUUUUAGACAUGAUAUAUUUGCACACCAUUUAAAAAGAGGGACGCAAGAAUUUAGGUAGUAUUAAACACUUUUAUAAUAAAAUAUCAAGAAAAAAUAAUAAACAGAAGUAUUUAGGUUUCUAAAGUGUCAAUCAAAGUGCAACCUUGAUGUGUCAACACUCGAUAAUCAUGUGAUAACUAAAUACAUCAAUUUUUUAAAAGACGUGCAUUUUGUUGAGAUGGGUACCAUAAAAAAUUACAUGGCUCAAAAUACUUUAAGGAAGAUGUUCAAGAAAUAGUGCCUACAAGCUUUGCCUAGUAAGAAUCCAUGACCGUUGGAUGGUACGAAACCUUUAAAACAUGGGCUUAUUUUGGUAAUUGUCUUUUGGACAUGCACCUACCACUUUGAGAUUGCGUAAUGCUUCACCAGCAAUGGACCUUAGGAAACUUUUCUACGUAGAAAUUUCUCUAACACACACUUACUCUUUGUUGGGUAGAGAGAGAUUGUGCAAUGCGAAUACAUAGUUUUUAAUAUUUCUGAUAUGAAAAAUUGUUUCAUGUGGUUUUUAAUAUUUCGGAUAUGGAAAAUUGUUUUAUGUGGGCUGAACCGCAUUUCUAUAAUAUACGGUCCAGAGGCAUAAAGCAUGGGCGCAAAAUAGGUGGUCUAUCUGGGACAAGUAUAACUAAGGAGUCCAAAUAUUUUUAGUUUUAAAGUUAUUAUUGUUUUUCCAUAUUCAUAAUCUCUAUCUUAAAAAUUAUAUAUUUUCUAAAAAUUAAAAUCAAAUUAUAUUUAAAAAAUGUAUUUAUUGCCGAGCACGAAUUUCUAGAUAUGCGGGGCUGGCUGCAUAGAAACCGUGUCCUGAUGAUAUUUCCAACCGUGUUUGUGUCAAUUAUUUUUAACGCCUCUUUUGCAUGAAUUCCCUCUAACUUUUACUGUAACUGAAUCCUAUGUCCUAAAAGAUAAUCUCCGAUGAAAACGAAACUCUCUCUCUCUUAUUUGCACAAGUCAC
rnacentral:lncRNA from 1 species